CACUACAAGGGACAAGCAUGCAUGGUUGGUUAAGGUCUCAAGACAAUGGAGAUGCCACUACAAGAGACAAGCAUGCAUGGUGGGUUAAGGUCUCAAGACAAUGGAGAUGCCACUACAAGGGAUAAGCAUGCAUGGUGGGUUAAGGUUUCAAGACAAUGGAUUAUUAGUUUAUCAUAUCUCAUCUACCAUUUGCCAUACUUGUAACCCUUAUAUAUAUAGGAUGUUCCCAUAAGCAAAUCAAUCAAGCAAAUAAGAUUCUCUUUCUUUACUCUAUCUCUCUCUUUACUUUCUAGAUUAAACAUCUCUCUCUCUCUUGUUCUUCACUAUGUUCUUCAAUUUCUAACAUGGUAUCAGAGCCUCCAAGCUCUUGAACACCAAACUGCUUCCGCAAAUUUACUGUAUUCACCUUACUCUUUCACUUGUUUGGUUUACUUUCUUCAUUUCUAGAGAACAUAUCUUGGCUUCCCUUGUUUUCUCUCUUGUCUAGCCUCAGAAAUUCAAAUUUCUUCUUGGCGAAUUUUUUACUUUUUUUACCCGCUGGACAAUAGCAAGCAAAGAUGGAACAGCACAAGCUAGUGAGGAUUCCAGUCAUCCUGAAAGGUCCUAACUACAUUACCUGGUCGAGAUUGACCAGGACAGCUCUUGGAGGAAGAGGUCUAUGGGAGCACAUCACUACAAGUGAGGCCCCAAGACAAAUGCAUGGAAGCUGCUGGGAGUCCAGAACUUGCUAACUUCUUUCGUUUCUUGAGUUUCUUAAUCUACAAGGUUAUACCAAGAGGAUGAAGUUUUGUACAGAUAAAUUGUUUAAGGUUUUCAGAGAGUUCAUCGAUAUUAAAACUGCGGACAAAUCACUGAGGAAUGAUCCAAAAUUUGCUUCCAACCGCGAUUUUUUGGAUGCACUUCUCGAUCUCACCGUAGGGGAAGAAGCAGAACUCGACUAAAAUGAUAUUGAACACCUUCUCUUGGAUAUGUUUGUAGGAGGCACGGACACAAACUCUAGUACCCUAGAAUGGGCAAUGGCAGAGUUACUUACUAACCCUACAACGAUGGCGAAAGCUCAGACCGAGAUCAAACAAAUGCUAGGCCUAAACGGGUUUGUUCAAGAGCCUGAUAUCUCAGAAUUGCCAUAUAUACAAGCAAUUGUUAAAGAAACUUUCCGUUUGCAUCCACCUGUUCCUUUUCUUCUCCCACGGGAAGCGGAAACGGAUGUUGAGAUUUUUGGAUACUUUGUUCCUAAAGAUGCUCAGGUUUUGGUGAAUGUGUGGGCCAUAGGACGAGAUCCAGGGGUGUGGGAGAACCCGACCCGGUUCGAGCCAGAGAGGUUUUUGGGGAAAGAAAUUGAUGUGAAAGGUAAAAAUUAUGAGUUAACACCGUUUGGAGCUGGACGAAGAAUUUGUCCGGGACUGCCUUUGGCCGUGAAGAUGGUAUCUCUUAUGCUUCUUUCUCUUCUUUAUUCCUUUGACUGGAAGCUUCAAAAUGCUGUCGACAUGGAUGAAACCUUUGGUAUUACCUUGCACAAGGCCAACCCGUUACAUGCGGUUCCGGUUAGAAGAAUUCGCCACUAGUUAAAACAUUUGUAAGACUAUUUAUAGUCUCCCUUUACAUUUUCUUUAAAAAUAAAAUGGUUUUAAUUCUAAUGUAUAUUCAUAUAAUAUAUGAGUGUUGCUGCUUCCUUUAAAAAAACUCAGCAUAAUGCUUUCAUUUGUUAAUUGUUUGAGUACAAACUUGGCUUUCGGGAAAGCAGCUGUUUACACUCUACAGUUUUUGUGUAUGUUAGUCAGGGGCGGUUUUGAGCACAGCGAAUUGAAACAUCGGUUUAGGGUCCCCAAAUUUUUUUAUUAAUUUUACAUAGAAAAAGGUUUCCAAAUUUGUAAAAAAAAAGUGUUUUUAGAAAACCCUCAUUAAAUUGUUUGACUCUUAACAUUUAGGGACGUCCCUAGAUCGUUGUCGUAUUAUGUUGUUAUAUAUCAUAAGCCUUUUAAUUGAAAAAUAAUUUGAAGUCAAAGAAAUAUAACUGAAAACUAUCCGAAGUCAAAUAUAAAAUUGAAAUAAAUCAUGUUGUGGAUUUAUAUUAUACAAACUAUAAUUUGAAGCUCCGAACGGCGUAGUCAACUUAGAGUCUUACCUAAGCGUAUCCACUUAAUCUUUUAUGCCGUCCGAAACAAGGAAGAUGUUAACUAAAUGAGAUUCAACUAAUGAGUUUUACAAUACGCGUGGAUGUUCAUAGUUUUCGGCGAAGCAAGUGAAGCUACAGUAUUACUGUUGAGAAAUAUACAUUCCACAUUAUUUGACAAAAUAAUAGUUCUCAAAUCCUUUAAUUUUAGUAGUUCUGCAGUAAACAAGAAUCAAAGGUUUUGGCAAUGAGAAAAACCUUUGCAAAAGAAGUAAACUGGCCAACAUAGAGAGCAAAUAUCAUUCCACAAAGGUUCAGAAUAGUGAAUGUGUCCAAUUAAAAACUUUUAAGACAAUAGUUUAAAGGAAAUAAAAAAGAAGUUUAAAGGAUGAGCAGACAACAGUUCUGAAACUUCAGUAGGUGGCUGG